GUGAGGGGCGAAAGCUGGGGGCGCAAACCGGAUUAGAUACCCGGGUAGUCCAGCAGUAAACGAUGCCAGCUAUGUGUUGCUGGGAACCAUGGGUUCCACAGUGCCGAAGGGAAGCCGUGAAGCUGGCCACCUGGGAAGUACGGUCGCAAGGCUGAAACUUAAAGGAAUUGGCGGGGGAGUACCACAACCGGUGGAGCCUGCGGUUUAAUUGGAUACAACGCCGGGAAUCUUACCGGAGGGGACAGCAGUAUGAAGGCCAGGCUAAAGACCUUGCCAGAUCAGCUGAGAGGAGGUGCAUGGCCGUCGCCAGUUCGUACCGUGAGGCAUCCUGUUUAGUCAGGCAACGAUCGAGACCCGCAGUCUUAUUUGCCAGCAUGCCCUUUGGGGUGUAUGGGUACAAUAAGACGACCGCCAGCGCUAAGCUGGAGGAAGGAGCGGGCUACGGUAGGUCAGCAUGCCCCGAAUCCUCCGGGAUACACGCGGGCUACAAUGGUCAGGACAAAAGGUACCGACCUCGAAAGAGUGAGGUAAUCCACAAACCUGAUCUCAGUCCGGAUCGAAGGCUGCAACUCGCCUUCGUGAAGAUGGAAUCGGUAGUAAUCGUGACUCAAAAUG
rnacentral:rRNA from 1 species